rnacentral:snoRNA from 1 species
AGCCUCUCAGGGUCGCACCUGGAGAGUUUCCAGUACUCCACCAGUCUCGACUAUGGGAGGGAGAGUCAAGAAGAGGCUUACCCAUUCCAUUCCUAGCUUGGGUAGUGGCUAGCGAGCAGAAGACCAUCUCCUACAAGU